rnacentral:rRNA from 1 species
CGGCGUGCUUAACACAUGCAAGUCGAACGAGAGGAGAAGGAAGCUUGCUUCUUUCAAAUCUAGUGGCAAACGGGUGAGUAACACGUAAGCAACCUGCCUUCAGGAUGGGGACAACAGACGGAAACGACUGCUAAUACCGAAUGUUGUGCAACCUCCGCAUGGAGGAUGCAUUAAAGAUGGCCUCUACUUGUAAGCUAUCGCUUUGCGAUGGGUCUGCGUCUGAUUAGCUAGUUGGUGGGGCAACGGCCUACCAAGGCGACGAUCAGUAACCGGUCUGAGAGGAUGAACGGCCACAUUGGAACUGAGACACGGUCCAGACUCCUACGGGAGGCAGCAGUGGGGAAUCUUCCGCAAUGGGCGAAAGCCUGACGGAGCAACGCCGCGUGAGUGAAGAAGGCCUUCGGGUCGUAAAGCUCUGUUGUCGGGGACGAAUGUACGAGCUAUCAACAACGGUUCGUAAUGACGGUACCUGACGAGGAAGCCACGGCUAACUACGUG